GACGAACGCUGGCGGCGUGCCUAAUACAUGCAAGUUGAGCGCUGAAGGUUGGUACUUGUACCAACUGGAUGAGCAGCGAACGGGUGAGUAACGCGUGGGGAAUCUGCCUUUGAGCGGGGGACAACAUUUGGAAACGAAUGCUAAUACCGCAUAAAAACUUUAAACACAAGUUUUAAGUUUGAAAGAUGCAAUUGCAUCACUCAAAGAUGAUCCCGCGUUGUAUUAGCUAGUUGGUGAGGUAAAGGCUCACCAAGGCGAUGAUACAUAGCCGACCUGAGAGGGUGAUCGGCCACAUUGGGACUGAGACACGGCCCAAACUCCUACAGGAGGCAGCAGUAGGGAAUCUUCGGCAAUGGACGAAAGUCUGACCGAGCAACGCCGCGUGAGUGAAGAAGGUUUUCGGAUCGUAAAACUCUGUUGGUAGAGAAGAACGUUGGUGAGAGUGGAAAGCUCAUCAAGUGACGGUAACUACCCAGAAAGGGACGGCUAACUACGU
rnacentral:rRNA from 1 species